AAGUUGUUGCGGUUAAAAGCUCGUAGUUCGAGCUCAGUUCCGGACUGGCCGGGGAGGUCACCGCCCGGUGCUUCCCCGUCAGGCUCCGAACAGCCUUCGUGAGCGGAGGCCAAGCCGGUUCUGCCGGGGUGCUCUUUACCGAGUGUCCCGCGCGGCCGGCCAGUUCACCUUGAAUAAAUGAGAGUGCUCAAAGCAGGCUACUCUCGAAUACAAUGCCCGAAUGUUACCUGCAUGGAAUGAUGGAAGAUGAUCUCGGUUCCAUUUUAUUGGUGGUGGGAGCCCGAGGUAAUGAUAAACAGGGACUGUCGGGGGCAUCCGUACUACGACGCGAGAGGUGAAAUUCAGUGACCGUCGUAGGACGAACAACAGCGAAAGCAUUUGCCAAGAAUGUCUUCGUUGAUCAAGAACGAAAGUUAGAGGAUCGAAGGCGAUCAGAUACCGCCCUAGUUCUAACCCUAAACGAUGCUGACUAGCAAUUCGCCGUCGUUAUUCCCAUGACGUGGCGAGACGCCCCCGGGAAACCUCAAGUCUUUGAGUUCCGGGGGUAGUAUGGUUGCAAAACUGAAACUUAAAGGAAUUGACGGAAGGGCACCACCAGGAGUGGAGCCUGCGGCUUAAUUUGACUCAACACGGGAAACCUCACCAGGCCCGGACACCAGAAGGAUUGACAGAUUAAGAGCUCUUUCUCGAUUUGGUGGGUGGUGGUGCAUGGCCGUUCUUAGUUGGUGGAGUGAUUUGUCUGGUUAAUUCCGGUAACGAACGAGACUCUGGCCUACUAAAUAGUCGACGGGCGUUUUGGUGCAUGGGCCCCGUUCGACACAGUCUUCUUAGAGGGAUGAGCAGCGAGUAUAGCUGCAGGAGAUUGAGCAAUAACAGGUCUGUGAUGCCCUUAGAUGUCCUGGGCCGCACGCGCGCUACACUGAAUGGGUUAGCGGGUUGUCCUUCUCCGAGAGGAGCGGGAAAUCGCUUGAAAACCAUUCGUGAUAGGGAUUGGGGCUUGCAAUUGUUUCCCAUGAACGAGGAAUUCCCAGUAUGCGCAAGUCAUCAGCUUGCGUUGAUUAAGUCCCUGCCCUUUGUACACACCGCCCGUCGCUACUACCGAUUGAAUGAUUUAGUGAGGCCUUCGGACUGGCGGUCUUGGACUGGGGCGCCGGCGUUCUCCAGCAAUGGGGUGCCGGCGACCCGCCUAGACGGGCCGGAAAGAUGUCCAAACUUGAUCAUUUAGAGGAAGUAAAAGUCGUAACAAGGUUUCCGUAGGUGAA
rnacentral:rRNA from 1 species